GGAGUUUUAGCUCAGUUGGCUAGAGCGUUGGCUGCAAUAAAACCUUCCACUUGCUGGCGUGGGUUCGAAUCCCAUCGAUGCCG
rnacentral:tRNA from 1 species